CGGAUUAGAAUCUCUUUCGCCACGUUCUCCAACGAAGAAACCAACACGGUGCCAGUUCGCCGGUUCCGCGAGACGGUCCGUCAAGCAGACCUUACCGCGGUGUGUUUGCGCGUUUAUGCAAACCAGCCUAUUAGCGGGAAACCGACGUGCGUCAAUCCGUUUUAAAAGUGGCACGUCAAACUCGCGAGGCAGCCACGGGAGAAAGAGAUCCAGAGAAACACGUGUGCACGCUCGUCAAAGAGAAACGUAUUCAUACGACUCGUUAACGGCUCGUUAAACGUGCGGAUAGCGCGUGAACACGAACUGAAUUCGCAGUCUGCUUUACGAUGGUAUCAUCGUUCAAUUUCAGAAGACAUGGAAGAUACGAAUAGAUAUUAUGAAGAUGUCGCCGAAUGAGCCCCACCACGGGGAUCAACGGGCACGUGCGAAGCGUUUACAAAACGCUUACGCGUACCACAGGCCCCGAGUACACAUCGUUGCCAGCCGCAUUAUCUGAUGGUACCGACAUACGUCUUCGCUGUCAGCCAAUCGUUAAGGAAACAAUCAGACACGCCGGAGACAGAUCGGCUGCCAACCACCUCUUCCCUCUACCCCUUCGCGCUGUCGUCGUCUUUUUCAUUUUCUACUAUUUUUUAUCCCGACAUUCGUAUCAAUCUUUCUGAUCCCGAUGUCUGCAAUCCUUUCUUUUCAAUCAUAAAUUAUAUCAGUGUUCCUGCACCAGAUCCAGUUUAACGGAUUAUACAAUCCACAAUUAAAUUCAGUUCUAACGAUGAUAUUGAGACAAUGAUUAGAAUGUAAUUGACAUUGUACAAUAGAAGGCUGUGUUCAGAAGUAUGUUAGAGUGGGAAGAAGAGCCAGGAAAAUGUGAUACAAAUAAUAAA